rnacentral:rRNA from 1 species
GACGAACGCUGGCGGCGUGCUUAACAUAUGCAAGUCGAACGGAAAGGCCCUGCUUUUGUGGGGUGCUCGAGUGGCGAACGGGUGAGUAACACGUGAGUAACCUGCCCUUGACUUUGGGAUAACUUCAGGAAACUGGGGCUAAUACCGGAUAGGAGCUCCUGCUGCAUGGUGGGGGUUGGAAAGUUUCGGCGGUUGGGGAUGGACUCGCGGCUUAUCAGCUUGUUGGUGGGGUAGUGGCUUACCAAGGCUUUGACGGGUAGCCGGCCUGAGAGGGUGACCGGCCAGAUUGGGACUGAGAUACGGCCCAGACUCCUACGAGAGGCAGCAGUGGGGAAUAUUGCACGAUGGGCGGAAGCAUGAUGCAGCAACGCAGCGUGCGGGAUGACGGCCUUCGGGUUGUAAACCGCUUUCGCAUGUGACGAAGCGUGAGUGACGGUAAUGGGUAAAGAAGCACCGGCUAACUACGUG